GUGAACGCUGGCGGUAGGCCUAACACAUGCAAGUCGAACGGCAGCACCGGAGAGCUUGCUCUCUGGGUGGCGAGUGGCGGCCGGGUGAGGAAUACAUCGGAAUCUGCCCAGUCGUGGGGGAUAACGUAGGGAAACUUACGCUAAUACCGCAUACGACCUUCGGGUGAAAGAGGGGGAUCGCAAGACCUCUCGCGAUUGGAUGAGCCGAUGUCGGAUUAGCUAGUUGGCGGGGUAAUGGCCCACCAAGGCGACGAUCCGUAGCUGGUCUGAGAGGAUGAUCAGCCACACUGGAACUGAGACACGGUCCAGACUCCUACGGGAGGCAGCAGUGGGGAAUAUUGGACAAUGGGCGCAAGCCUGAUCCAGCCAUACCGCGUGGGUGAAGAAGGCCUUCGGGUUGUAAAGCCCUUUUGUUGGGAAAGAAAUCUUUCAGGCUAAUACCCUGGGAGGAUGACGGUACCCAAAGAAUAAGCACCGGCUAACUUCGUG
rnacentral:rRNA from 1 species